AUUGAACGCUGGCGGCAUGCUUUACACAUGCAAGUCGAACGGUAACAGGCCGCAAGGUGCUGACGAGUGGCGAACGGGUGAGUAAUGCAUCGGAACGUGCCCAGUCGUGGGGGAUAACGCAGCGAAAGCUGUGCUAAUACCGCAUACGAACUAUGGAUGAAAGCGGGGGACCGUAAGGCCUCGCGCGAUUGGAGCGGACGAUGUCAGAUUAGGUAGUUGGUGGGGGAAAGGCUCACCAAGCCAACGAUCUGUAGCUGGUCUGAGAGGACGACCAGCCACACUGGGACUGAGACACGGCCCAGACUCCUACGGGAGGCAGCAGUGGGGAAUUUUGGACAAUGGGCGCAAGCCUGAUCCAGCAAUGCCGCGUGCAGGAAGAAGGCCUUCGGGUUGUAAACUGCUUUUGUACGGAACGAAAAGGUUUGGGUUAAUACCCUGGGCCGAUGACGGUACCGUAAGAAUAAGCACCGGCUAACUACGUGCCAGCCGCCGCCGUAA
rnacentral:rRNA from 1 species